rnacentral:lncRNA from 1 species
ACCCACGUCUGGAGCGAGGGUGAGAAGGUCGGAUUCGCUGGCUGGAAGGCUUUCUUUGCUUAUGGACAGCCGCUCCAGAAAGUGUCAUUUGGUAGCAUGUAAAUGAUUGUGGCAUUUUCCCUGAGCAGUGGUUUUUUAUGCCAUUUUCUAAGUCAGAAUGUAUCUGGCAUUUAAGUUGUCCUGGUCCUCAUAAUAGUUUCCUACUUCCUUGUCACACCGGAGAGAACCUCAAGUUCUUUGUGGGAGUUAUUUCAACCCAGCAGACCACGAAGCCAAGCAAAGCUGGAGCAUUUUCUUUCCAAUUCCAGGGGAGCCUCUGAGGUUUGUGAUCCUGAAUGUGGAGGCCGAUGAACAUAUUUGGAAGCAGAAAUCCAGCUUUCAAAGGAAGAAACCCCCUACGAGGGAGAUAUUUUGCCAGCAUUUCAUACACAGUUUUGCUAUCAAGAGACACCUGGGCCCCUGAGGCUCUGGGCUGAUUCCAGGCUCCAGGAGCUCUGCCACCAGUGACUGAAGCCAGAAGAGGUGGACCCUGGAGAUGCUAAGGCUGAGCAGUUCCUGACCAUCCUGCCCCAGGAGCUCCAAGCCUCGGUGCAGGAGCAUCCUGAGAGCAGGGAAGAGUUGCCAAGUGUGCUGGAGGAUUUAGAGGAAAAGCUGGAUGAGCCAGGAGAACAGCUGGGAGAGUGAAUGUGAGCCAUCUCAGGCAAGAGAGUUAAAUCUCUGGUUUGGUAGGAGGCAUCUACCCAGAGAUUGGACAGUGGCAUAUUUCAGUUUUCUCUAAGGUCCCAGGAAAUGCCCUGGAAGGAGGCAGAACCCAUGGAAACAGCACAGAGGUGACCACAUUUCAAGUUCCUGUUCUCUGCAAUCCAGUUAAAAAGUGAAUGUCCACAGUCCAGCUGUUCCUUACAAGAGAAGGAUAAGGAGCAGGCUUCAAUCCAGUAUGAAGGGAGAGGAUGGGAGGAAAAUACAGUUUUCCUCUAUCUCAUCUAGGAAGCAAAAGUAAUAUUUAGAAUUGUGAGUUAGUAAGGGUGUAGGAACUCUGGGUUUCUGACUCUUGCUUUAGAUAUUUCACAAUAGCAUAUACGUCUAGGCAGUUUUAUUUUUUCCUUCUCAAUCAGUAUAUCUUUUAUUUCCUUUUCUUGUCUUUUUGUAUUAGAUAGGAUGGUGUGAAAUAAGAAUGAUAAAAGGAGGCAUCCUUGCCUUGUUCGUGAUCUUAGUGGGACAGCAUGUACUUUCUCAUCAUUAAAUAUGAUAGAAACCAUGGGGUUUUAAAAAAAUAGAUGCCUGUUAUCAAAUUGAGGUAAUUACCUCCUAUUCCUGAGAGAUUUGUCAUGAAUGAGUGUUAGGUUUUUUUCAAAUAUUUUUUCUGCAUCUAUAAAUAUAGUAUUUUUCUUCUUUAGCCUGUUAUUGUGAGGGAUUAGGUUAACUGACUUUCAAAUGUUGAACCAGACUUUUAUACCUGAAAGAAAUCCUGCUUAGACAUGAUGUAUAAUUCUUUUUAUGCAAUGUUGGAUUGGAUUCACUAAUUUUUUUUUUUUUUAGCCACACCUGCAGCAUGCGGAAGUUCCCAGGACAGGGAUUGAACCCAUGCCACAGCAGUGACCCAUGCCACAGCAGCAACCUGAGCCAUUGCAAUGACAAUGCCAGAGCCUUAGCCCAUUGUGCCACAAGAGAAGUCCUGUGGGGAAGCUUUUAAUUAGAGCCUUUUUGUUUUGUUUUGUUUUUGUUUUUUAGGGCUGCACCCCCAGCAUAUGGAAGUUCCCAGGGUAGGGGUCCAACUGGAGCUGCAGCUGCCAGCCUACACCACAGCCACAGCAACUCGGGAUCCGAGCCGCAUCUGUGGCCUACACCACAGCUCAUGGCAAUGCCAGAUCCUUAACCCACUGAACAAAGCCAGGGAUUGAACCUGCGUCCUCAUGGAUGCUGGUCAGAUUCAUUAACCGCUGAGCCACGAUGGGAACUCCCAGAGCCCACUUUUUGUUAAGCAUCAGAGAAUACACACUGACAAGAUAACUUAUCUCUGUAAAAAAAUGAGAUAAAUGCUUUAAUCAGAAUUCAGGUCUGAUAUCACAUCAGAGAUUACAUACAACAGAGAGACCUUAUGGUUAUGAAGUGUUUGGGAAAGGCUUCAGUGACUGCUCAUACCUCAUUAAACAUCCCAGAAUCCACACAGAGAGUAGGAAAUUGGGAGGAAAUAGUAUCAGUGUGCUGAAUGUGGGAAAUGCUUUAUUGAGAACAAAGGUCUUAUUUUACAUCAGAAAAUCCAUACUGGAGAGAGACCCUGUAAAUACAACGAAUGUGGAAAAGCUUUCCAAAAUAAUGUGAACCUUUUUAGACUUUAAAAAAUACACAACGUGCUUGCUUUGGCAGCACAUAUACUAAAAUUGGAAUGAUACAGAGGUUAGCAUGGCCCCUAUGCAAGGAUGACACAAAUUCUUAAAGCGUUCCAUAUUAAAAAAAAUAUAUAUAUAUAUACAUGUACAUAACAAAAUAGAAUUCUGAUAAUGUGUAAAAAACUUUAGAUUUCAUUUUUAGAAAUGUGGAGGGGAAAUACCUUGAUUAUGAUUGUGAAAUAUUUCAAUGGCAGCUUCUUACUUCACUCCAGUGUAUGGUUUUUGUUUCACACCACCAAGCAAUAAACUCAAUCCUGACACUAUUUACCUGGUAUUAGUGUCAGAGCCCAUGGGUUAAGGGAUCAGUCCCAUAAGACUGCACCCUUUCCCACUCCCCUCUUCAGAAACCAGUCUCAAGUCUAGGUUAUUAAUCUGUGCUUCUGACUAGAUCAGAGGUUCCCAGGACCCCACUCCCUCCUUGAGUUCAAUUAAUUCUCUAUAGCAGUUCAUAGAACUCAGAUAAACAUUUACUUGAAUUUAUCAUUUUAUUAUAGAGGCUGUUACAAAGAAUACAGAUGAACAGCCAGAUGAAGAUCUGGAAGGGUCCAGAAUCUAGAAGAUUCUUCCCCCAUGAAAUGGGACAAAUUAGCUAGAGCUUGGUUUAGCAGGGAUAAAUUUAAGUUUUUUGUCAUACUCCUUUAGGAAAGAGUUAGUCUCACCCAGAAACCAGUUCCAAGCUCCAGUGUGAUUCUUAGGCAAGAAUGAAGAAUAGUUCAUUUGAACCUGUAGAUAUGUGAAACUCAGAAGGUAGGUAAAAUAUUGGGAGUGUUUAUUCACUCUGAGACUUCCCUUUUAAAAAUUGUUUGUAAUAUUCAGUCUUUCUGUUUCAGGAAAAUAUGCUCAUUAUAUCCAGAAAGAUUUAUAAAACACAUAAUUGUGUACUGGCUAAAAAUUGUUUGGAAGGUAAUAGGGAGUGACUAUCUGACUUGUUUGGCUUUUAAAGUGCGAGUAAAUAAUGCAGAAUAGUGCUUGCUUUGGCAGUAUGUAUAUUAAAGUUGGAAAUGAUACAGAAAUUACUAUGGCCCUUGCUCAAGGAUGACACAUAAAUUCAUGAAUAUUCCUUUUUUUUUUUUUUUUUUUUUUUUUUGUAUUAUUAGGGCCGCACUCGCAGCACAUGGAGGUUCCCAGGCUAGGGGUCCAAUUGGAGCUAUAGCCACCAGCCUACUCCAGAGCCACAGCAAUGCCAGAUCUGAGCCGCAUUUGCUACCUACAUACACCACGGCUCACGGCACCUGAGCUGUUGCCCACUGAGCGAGGCCAGAGAUCGAACCCACAACCUCAUGGUUCCUAGUUGGGGUCAUUUCCACCGCACUAGGACAGGAACUCCCCCUUUUUUUUUUUGACUGUGCCCAUGGUAUGUGGAAGUCCCCAGGUCAAGGAUGGAACCCGAGCCAUGGCAGUGACCUGGACUGCUACAGUGACAACACCAGACACUUAACCUGCUGCACCACAAGGGAACGUCUAUAUUUUUAGAAGAAAUUCAAAAUUAAAAUAUCAAUAAAUGAAGCUUUGACUAAGCU